AAUUUCAAUUUAAGAACAACAUAGUUCUUUCUCUGCAAUGUAACAAAGGUAUUAAAAAAAAAAGUAGAAAAAAAGGUGGAGGUUGAAGAAGAGGAGGAAGAGUUUGAAAAGAACAACACACAUAUAAGUUUGAAAAUCAAGAAAAUAUAAGAUCUGUGCAUUUGGAAAGCACCUAUGAUUUGCUUAAUUUGGAAAUUGCAUAGAAAGAAGAAGAAGAACACAGAGUCAUGUGG
rnacentral:lncRNA from 1 species